GAUUCUGUCUAUCAAACGAAUCCUGAAUUAAUAUCGUCUGCAAAACAUCGUGAGUAUACAGAAGCGGCCUUGCGAGAGGCGUCAUUCCAGGGGGCUAACGGAACUCUUAAACAUAGAGCAAAGAACCUGGCUGAAUCCGGAUUCUAUUUAAAAGGUUCUGACAAUAUUGUGAAGUGUUUUCACUGUGGAAUUGAAAUGACUUUGGAUUUUCAUGAAGAUCUUACCGAAAAACAUCGACAGCUAUCACCAAACUGCAGAUUCCUUCGAUAUGAAAUGCAAAAAAUAAACGAAGAUGUUGCGACGAUAAGACAGCAGUUGCUUUGUAAGGUCUGUCUUGAUGGUCGUGUAAAGAUGACCUUUCGACCUUGUGGUCAUCUAGCAACCUGUGAAAAUUGUGCACUUCUACUGGAAUCUUGUCCGAUAUGUAGAACAAAAAUAACAGAGAAAAUUAAAACCUUUCUGUAAUCAAACGUUCUCGAAAAAGACAGCAACGUUAAUACACAUAUCUUUCCUGAUAUAGGUUUACCUAAAUAUCACAAAACAUAUCGUUCAAUAAAACCUCCUGAUUUUACUAAAAACACAAUUACAACAAAAAUUAAGAACGAUAAUACCAUAAUGAUAGUCCAUUUUGCUAUCAAGCCUCUAUCUACCGUCUAAUUAAGUUUUCAUAAUGUAUAUUCUAUCUAGUACAUGUAUGUUUAGUUUAUUUAGUAAUCUAAUUUACUUUUCCAUUCUUUGGAAAUAAUACUUUUGUGACACUUUUUGACUGUACUGUUAAAAAUGUUGUUAAUCACAUUAACGACAAAAUGACAGAGCGGUUUUUAAAGAGCUUUAUUUACAAUUUUUAUGUUCCUAUCAAAGAUUAUUAACAUAACCCCGGGUUAAUGAGAGAUGUACAUCGCGCGGUCUCUUGAGAGCAUGCUAUUGUGUAUAAUUUGCUUAUUACCAACCACGAAUUUAGAAAGAGGCAUGCAUGUUGCAAAGUAAUUGCUCUUACUACGCGUGGAACAAACUAGUUGCCGAAAUCAAGCUUCGUAAACAACAACAACAGAUAGAAGAACACCUUUUGAUAUUGAUAUAAGACGUUAUUGAUACGGAUGUGAUAUUCAGGAAUUAAGACACAGAAAUGAUUACAUAGUAAUGAUGAAAUAAAUGUUUUUGAAAACUCUC
rnacentral:misc_RNA from 1 species